CCUACGGGGGGCUGCAGUGGGGAAUAUUGCACAAUGGGCGCAAGCCUGAUGCAGCCAUGCCGCGUGUGUGAAGAAGGCCUUCGGGUUGUAAAGCACUUUCAGCGGGGAGGAAGGCGUUAAGGUUAAUAACCUUGUCGAUUGACGUUACCCGCAGAAGAAGCACCGGCUAACUCCGUGCCAGCAGCCGCGGUAAUACGGAGGGUGCAAGCGUUAAUCGGAAUUACUGGGCGUAAAGCGCACGCAGGCGGUCUGUCAAGUCGGAUGUGAAAUCCCCGGGCUCAACCUGGGAACUGCAUUCGAAACUGGCAGGCUAGAGUCUUGUAGAGGGGGGUAGAAUUCCAGGGGUAGCGGUGAAAUGCGUAGAGAUCUGGAGGAAUACCGGUGGCGAAGGCGGCCCCCUGGACAAAGACUGACGCUCAGGUGCGAAAGCGUGGGGAGCAAACAGGAUUAGAUACCCGGGUAGUC
rnacentral:rRNA from 1 species